GCCGACGUUGAUGAUAAAGGCGUCGGGAAUCGGCUGAACGGCGACCCAAGCAUCGCCUCGGCGAACCUGAAGGCCUUUGACGCGGUCAUCGGCCAGGAGCACGGUUAUGCCGCCCGGAUCCGAAUGCGAGGAGAGGCCGAGAGCGAGGUCCGGCUGGGGGCACUUGGGGUAGAAAUUGACCCUCAUACAAACACCCACGUCGUCCCCGCCGAACGCCUUCUGUAGGAAAUUCUCCUCCAGUCCCAGGCCCGACGACAGCACCUUCAUCACUUUUUCACACAGCUUUAUCAAUUCUCGGCUAUAGUCGUCGGUAGUCUCCCUGCUGAUCCAAAUAAUUAAACGAUAUACCUUCUUUCAACACAAGCGAUAGAGUCGAUACUUCAAAUAUAAUCUGUUUGCAAGUGGCUUCGUCAUGUAUCUACUCUCUAAUUUUAAUCACAAUUCAGCUAUUGUCUCCUCUUCAACAA